rnacentral:pre_miRNA from 1 species
UAACAGUGAUAAUGAUGAUGAUGAUGAUAACAACAACAACAACGAUAACAACAUUGUUGUUGUUGUUAUUAUCAUCAUCAUCAUCAUCAUCA